rnacentral:tRNA from 1 species
GGGGAUUUAGCUCAGCGGCAUAAGCGCCUGCCUUGCAAGCAGGCGGUCGUGAGUUCUAUCCCCG